GGGUACAGUGAAUAUGAAGAGAGAAAACAG
rnacentral:piRNA from 1 species